rnacentral:lncRNA from 1 species
UGACUCCUUAAAUGUUACUAAGAACUGAAUUGGUGGUAGCUUCAAUCAUUGGUUAGAGUAGGAACUUGGUCGAAGAAUUUGGAGGAUUGGCAUGUUCUCAUGGAAGUUGACAGUAGUUAGUUAGAUUUGAAGUUUGUGAUGUUAGUCUUUGUGUUUAGGGCAAGAGACUAUACCUACCCACAUUGUAGGCUCUGUGUAGA